AAAGGGAGUGUUUUUUCGCCCCACUGGGGGAGUGAGCCCCGGCCCCAUAUUUCGGAGGGGGGGCAGCGUGAGGGAAUCUUCCCACAAGGGAAAAAUUUUUGAGGAACAACCCCGCCUGAAAGAAAAAAGUUUUCGGAUUGAAAAACUCUGUUGUUAGAGAAGAACGUGUGUGAGAGUAACUGUUCAUGCAGUGACGGUAUCUAACCAGAAAGCCAGGGCUAACUACGUGCCAGCAGCCGCGGUAAUACGUAGGUGGCAAGCGUUGUCCGGAUUUAUUGGGCGUAAAGGGAACGCAGGCGGUUUUUUAAGUCUGAUGUGAAAGCCUUCGGCUUAACCGAAGUCAUGCAUUGGAAACUGAAAGACUUGAGUGCAGAAGAGGAGAGUGGAACUCCAUGUGUAGCGGUGAAAUGCGUAGAUAUAUGGAAGAACACCAGUGGCGAAAGCGGCUCUCUGGUCUGUAACUGACGCUGAGGUUCGAAAGUGUGGGUAGCAAACAGGAUUAGAUACCCUGGUAGUCCACACCGUAAACGAUGAAUGCUAAGUGUUGGAGGGUUUCCGCCCUUCGGUGCUGCAGCUAACGCAUUAAGCAUUCCGCCUGGGGAGUACGACCGCAAGGUUGAAACUCAAAGGAAUUGACGGGGGCCCGCACAAGCGGUGGAGCAUGUGGUUUAAUUCGAAGCAACGCGAAGAACCUUACCAGGUCUUGACAUCUUCUGACAGCCUAAGAGAUUAGGUGUUCCCUUCGGGGACAGAAUGACAGGUGGUGCAUGGUUGUCGUCAGCUCGUGUCGUGAGAUGUUGGGUUAAGUCCCGCAACGAGCGCAACCCUUAUUAUUAGUUGCCAGCAUUAAGUUGGGCACUCUAGUGAGACUGCCGGUGACAAACCGGAGGAAGGUGGGGAUGACGUCAAAUCAUCAUGCCCCUUAUGACCUGGGCUACACACGUGCUACAAUGGACGGUACAACGAGUCGCGAAACCGCGAGGUUUAGCUAAUCUCUUAAAGCCGUUCUCAGUUCGGAUUGUAGGCUGCAACUCGCCUACAUGAAGUCGGAAUCGCUAGUAAUCGCGGAUCAGCAUGCCGCGGUGAAUACGUUCCCGGGCCUUGUACACACCGCCCGUCACACCAUGAGGAGUUUGUAACACCCAAAAGCCGGUGGAGGUAACCUUUAUGGGGCCAGCCGUCUAAGGUGACAGAUAGUGA
rnacentral:rRNA from 1 species